rnacentral:rRNA from 1 species
UCGACGGAGCACCCCUGAACGAGGUUUCGGCCGAAGUGAAGGGAAUGCUUAGUGGCGGACGGGUGAGUAACGCGUGAGCAACCUGCCUUGAAGUGGGGGACAACAGUUGGAAACGACUGCUAAUACCGCAUAAUAUAUCUGAGUCGCAUGGCUUGGAUAUCAAAGAUUUAUCGCUUCGAGAUGGGCUCGCGUCUGAUUAGGUAGUUGGCGGGGUAACGGCCCACCAAGCCGACGAUCAGUAGCCGGACUGAGAGGUUGAACGGCCACAUUGGGACUGAGAUACGGCCCAGACUCCUACGGGAGGCAGCAGUGGGGAAUAUUGGGCAAUGGGCGCAAGCCUGACCCAGCAAUGCCGCGUGAAGGAAGAAGGCUUUCGGGUUGUAAACUUCUUUGACAGGGGAAGAGCAGAAGACGGUACCCUGAAAACAAGCCACGGCUAACUACGUGCCAGCAGCCGCGGUAAUACGUAGGUGGCAAGCGUUGUCCGGAUCCACUGGGUGUAAAGGGCGUGUAGCCGGGAAGGCAAGUCAGAUGUGAAAUCUGGAGGCUCAACCUCCAAAUUGCAUUUGAAACUGUUUUUCUUGAGUACUGGAGAGGCAGACGGAAUUCCUUGUGUAGCGGUGAAAUGCGUAGAUAUAAGGAGGAACACCAGUGGCGAAGGCGGUCUGCUGGACAGCAACUGACGGUGAGGCGCGAAAGCGUGGGGAGCAAACAGGAUUAGAUACCCUGGUAGUCCACGCUGUAAACGAUCAAUACUAGGUGUGCGGGGACUGACCCCCUGCGUGCCGCAGCUAACGCAAUAAGUAUUGCACCUGGGGAGUACGAUCGCAAGGUUGAGACUCAAAGGAAUUGACGGGGGCCCGCACAAGCGGUGGAUUAUGUGGUUUAAUU